CCUACGGGAGGCAGCAGUAGGGAAUCUUCCACAAUGGACGAAAGUCUGAUGGAGCAACGCCGCGUGAGUGAAGAAGGGUUUCGGCUCGUAAAGCUCUGUUGGUAGUGAAGAAAGAUAGAGGUAGUAACUGGCCUCUAUUUGACGGUAAUUACUUAGAAAGUCACGGCUAACUACGUGCCAGCAGCCGCGGUAAUACGUAGGUGGCAAGCGUUGUCCGGAUUUUUUGGGCGUAAAGCGAGUGCAGGCGGUUCAAUAAGUCUGAUGUGAAAGCCUUCGGCUCAACCGGAGAAUUGCAUCAGAAACUGUUGAACUUGAGUGCAGAAGAGGAGAGUGGAACUCCAUGUGUAGCGGUGGAAUGCGUAGAUAUAUGGAAGAACACCAGUGGCGAAGGCGACUCUCUGGUCUGCAACUGACGCUGAGGCUCGAAAGCAUGGGUAGCGAACAGGAUUAGAUACCCGAGUAGUC
rnacentral:rRNA from 1 species